rnacentral:rRNA from 1 species
GACGAACGCUGGCGGCGUGCCUAAUACAUGCAAGUAGAACGCACAGUUUAUACCGUAGCUUGCUACACCAUAAACUGUGAGUUGCGAACGGGUGAGUAACGCGUAGGUAACCUGCCUGGUAGCGGGGGAUAACUAUUGGAAACGAUAGCUAAUACCGCAUAAUAUUGAUUAUUGCAUGAUAAUUGAUUGAAAGAUGCUAUUGCAUCACUACCAGAUGGACCUGCGUUGUACUAGCUAGUAGGUGAGGUAACGGCUCACCUAGGCGACGAUACAUAGCCGACCUGAGAGGGUGCUCGGCCACACUGGGACUGAGACACGGCCCAGACUCCUACGGGAGGCAGCAGUAGGGAAUCUUCGGCAAUGGACGAAAGUCUGACCGAGCAACGCCGCGUGAGUGAAGAAGGUUUUCGGAUCGUAAAGCUCUGUUGUAAGAGAAGAACGGGUGUGAGAGUGGAAAGUUCACACUGUGACGGUAUCUUACCAGAAAGGGACGGCUAACUACGUG